rnacentral:pre_miRNA from 1 species
AAUAGAUGACAUCGUUGACUUUUUCUCAUAUGUUUGACCAUUCGUCUUAUUCAAAAAAAAAUAUAUAAUUAUAAUUUAUUUUGUUAUGAGUUGUUUUAUCACUCAUAGUACUUUAAGUAUGAUUUAUAUCUUAUAUAUUUGCAUAAAAUUUUUGAAUAAGACGAAUGGUCAAACAUGUGAGAAAAAAUCAACGGCGUCAUUUAUU